rnacentral:rRNA from 2 species
GAAGUUUUCGGACGGAUUAAUACUUAGUGGCGGACGGGUGAGUAACGCGUGGGUAACCUGCCUCAUACAGGGGGAUAACAGUUGGAAACGGCUGCUAAAACCGCAUAAGCAUACAUUGUCGCAUGACAGAGUGUGAAAAUAUUUAUAGGUAUGAGAUGGGCCCGCGUCUGAUUAGCUAGUUGGUAAGGUAACGGCUUACCAAGGCGACGAUCAGUAGCCGGCUUGAGAGAGUGACCGGCCACAUUGGGACUGAGACACGGCCCAAACUCCUACGGGAGGCAGCAGUGGGGAAUAUUGCACGAUGGGGGAAACCCUGAUGCAGCGACGCCGCGUGAGUGAAGAAGUAUUUCGGUAUGUAAAGCUCUAUCAGCAGGGACGAUAAUGACGGUACCUGACUAAGAAGCCCCGGCUAACUACGUGCCAGCAGCCGCGGUAAUACGUAGGGGGCAAGCGUUAUCCGGAUUUACUGGGUGUAAAGGGAGCGUAGGUGGUAUGGUAAGUCAGGUGUGAAAGCCCGGGGCUCAACUCCGGGAUUGCAUUUGAAACUACCAGACUAGAGUGCAGGAGAGGUAAGUGGAAUUCCUAGUAUAGCGGUGAAAUGCGUAGAUAUUAGGAGGAACACCAGUGGCGAAGGCGGCUUACUGGACUGUAACUGACACUGAGGCU